rnacentral:misc_RNA from 1 species
GAUGAAGAACGUAGAGAAAUGCGAUAAGUAUUGUGAAUUGCAGAAUUCAGUGAAUCAUCGAAUCUUUGAACGCACAUUGCGCCCCUUGGUAUUCCAUGGGGCAUGCCUGUUCGAGCGUCAUUUGUAUCUUCAAGCUUUGCUUGGUGUUGGGUGUUUGUCUCGCCUUUGCGUGUAGACUCGCCUUAAAAUAAUUGGCAGCCGGCGUAUUGAUUUCGGAGCGCAGUACAUCUCGCGCUUUGCACUCAUAACGACAGCGUCCAAAAGUACAUUUUACACUCUUGACCUCUGAUCAGGUAGGGAUACCCGCUGAACUUAAGCAUAUCAAUAAGCGGAGGA